GAAGGCUUUCGGGUUGUAAAGCACUUUAAGUAAGGAGAAAAAGAUUGCAGUUAAUACCUGCUAUCCGUGAUGUUACUUACAGAAUAAGGACCGGCUAAUUCCGUGCCAGCAGCCGCGGUAAUACGGAAGGUCCAAGCGUUAAUCGGAAUUACUGGGCGUAAAGCGCGCGUAGGUGGUUUUUUAAGUUGGAUGUGAAAGCCCUGGGCUCAACCUAGGAACUGCAUCCAAAACUAGAUGACUAGAGUACGAAAGAGGGAAGUAGAAUUCACAGUGUAGCGGUGGAAUGCGUAGAUAUUGUGAAGAAUACCGAUGGCGAAGGCAGCUUCCUGGUUCUGUACUGACACUAAGGUGCGAAAGCGUGGGUAGCGAACAGGAUUAGAUACCCUGGUAGUCCACGCCGUAAACGAUGACAACUAGCUGUUGGGAGACAAGAUCUCUCAGUGGCGCAGCUAACGCUU
rnacentral:rRNA from 1 species